GUGUCAUGGUUUGUUGGUGGGGGCGCAACGCAAAAAGCAUUUCUCUCUCUGUUAGUUUUCUUUCAUACGCUACAAAAUAAUACUCCACAGUUCAGUUGUCUUUUUCCUCUAAUCAAAUUUCUCAGCCGAUCCAUCGUCGACUCCAAGAAACCGAUCGCUGAUUCUAAAUGAAAAUUAAUUUCUCAAAUCGUUCUCAAUCAAUGUGUGCGGAUGUUCUCUCUUCUUCUUCGGCGUUGAUUGAUAUGCUAAUUACGGCUUACGGUACUGUUCUUCUUCGUGUACAUUGCUGGAAAUCGAUCGAGGAGAUCUGAUGCUCUCUCUUCUUUUCCGGCGUUGAUCGAUAUGCUUACGGCUUACGGUACUGUUCUUCUUCGUCUACAUUGCUGGAAAUCCAUGGAGGAGUUCUGUUUUGCUCUCUCUUCUUCUUCUCCGGCGUUGAUCAAUAUGCUUACGGCUUACGGUACUCUUCUUCGUGUACAUUGCCGGAAAAUGCUCGAGGAGCUCUGUUUUGCUUCACUUCUUCUGUGGAAUGAUGCUGUCGACUUUUCAAGUGAUGGAUUAUGACUGGCAUUGUUGUCUCUAGAUCAGUACAGUUGUGAUGGCUCCUCUACGAGUCUCCAGCGGCGAAAACAGUACUCCGUUAGCGGAUGACACAUCCAUCACCAUUCUAAUGUUCAAUGCACGGUUCAAUCUUCCAUCCCUGCAUUUUGGUAGCUGUGCAGCUGCAGCAUAUAACCUCAGCAGCUGCAGGAACUUACAAAUUACUUGGAUGUGAAUAAUACAUAUGCAACUUUUGAGCAAUAGAAUACUUGUUCAUAGAAGCAGCCCUAAGAAGGUAUAUUUCUUGCGUGAAUAUUUCAUUAUUAUCUUUUCACGAUAAAUAAAGGUUUUGCCAAACGUCCCUAAUCCAAUUUUUAAAAAAUACAAUGUAUUUUAAAACUGAGAAAAUUGAGAUUUUAAACAUCCAAUUAAACAUACAAUGGAAUGUCUAAAAGAUAAAAAGAUAUUGUUACGUAUAAAGCUAUUAGCAACUGUUUCACUAAACUUUUAUUAGAUAUUUAAGUGGCGUAAAAGAUAAUUUGAAUUUGUAAUGUAAAUUUACGCCCGAUCCAUUUUUAUGAAAUUUGCUCUUGAUAUCUACAAUAUGCUUAAAUAGUAAAUUCAUUUGUUCAUUUCUUUA